rnacentral:tRNA from 1 species
GGGCCCGUAGCUCAGCCUGGUUUAGAGCACCGGUCUUAUAAGCCGGCGGUCACGAGUUCAAAUCUCGCCGGGCCCA